UGAGGAAUAUUGGUCAAUGGGCGGAAGCCUGAACCAGCCAAGUCGCGUGAGGGAAGACGGUCCUAUGGAUUGUAAACCUCUUUUGCCGGGGAGCAAUGCCGCUCUUGCGAGAGCGGAGGGAGAGUACCCGGAGAAAAGCAUCGGCUAACUCCGUGCCAGCAGCCGCGGUAAUACGGAGGAUGCGAGCGUUAUCCGGAUUUAUUGGGUUUAAAGGGUGCGUAGGCGGGCUGUUAAGUCAGCGGUCAAAAUGUCGGGGCUCAACCCCGCCCUGGCCCGUUGCAAGUGCAAUGCUGGGUCGGUUCUGAGUGAGCGAGAAGUAUGCGGAAUGCGUGGUGUAGCGGUGAAAAUGCAUAGAUAUCACGCAGAACUCCGAUUGCGAAGGCAGCAUACCGGCGCUCAACUGACGCUGAGGCACGAAAAGCGUGGGGAUCGAACAGGAUUAGAUACC
rnacentral:rRNA from 1 species